rnacentral:rRNA from 1 species
AUUGAACGCUGGCGGCAGGCCUAACACAUGCAAGUCGAGCGGAUGACGGGAGCUUGCUCCUGGAUUCAGCGGCGGACGGGUGAGUAAUGCCUAGGAAUCUGCCUGGUAGUGGGGGACGACGUUUCGAAAGGAACGCUAAUACCGCAUACGUCCUACGGGAGAAAGCAGGGGACCGUCGGGCCUUGCGCUAUCAGAGGAGCCUAGGUCGGAUUAGCUAGUUGGCGAGGUAAUGGCUCACCAAGGCGACGAUCCGUAACUGGUCUGAGAGGAUGAUCAGUCACACUGGAACUGAGACACGGUCCAGACUCCUACGGGAGGCAGCAGUGGGGAAUAUUGGACAAUGGGCGAAAGCCUGAUCCAGCCAUGCCGCGUGUGUGAAGAAGGUCUUCGGAUUGUAAAGCACUUUAAGUUGGGAGGAAGGGCAGUAAGCGAAUACCUUGCUGUUUUGACGUUACCGACAGAAUAAGCACCGGCUAACUCUGUGCCAGCCGCCGCAGUAAGAC